GAUGAACGCUGGCGGCGUGCCUAAUACAUGCCAGUCGAGCGAACGGACGAGAAGCUUGCUUCUCUGAUGUUAGCGGCGGACGGGUGAGUAACACGUGGAUAACCUACCUAUAAGACUGGGAUAACUUCGGGAAACCGGAGCUAAUACCGGAUAAUAUUUUGAACCGCAUGGUUCAAAAGUGAAAGACGGUCUUGCUGUCACUUAUAGAUGGAUCCGCGCUGCAUUAGCUAGUUGGUAAGGUAACGGCUUACCAAGGCAACGAUGCAUAGCCGACCUGAGAGGGUGAUCGGCCACACUGGAACUGAGACACGGUCCAGACUCCUACGGGAGGCAGCAGUAGGGAAUCUUCCGCAAUGGGCGAAAGCCUGACGGAGCAACGCCGCGUGAGUGAUGAAGGUCUUCGGAUCGUAAAACUCUGUUAUUAGGGAAGAACAUAUGUGUAAGUAACUGUGCACAUCUUGACGGUACCUAAUCAGAAAGCCACGGCUAAUUACGUG
rnacentral:rRNA from 1 species